rnacentral:rRNA from 3 species
GGGUUGUGAGGUUAAGCGACUAAGCGUACACGGUGGAUGCCCUGGCAGUCAGAGGCGAUGAAGGACGUGCUAAUCUGCGAUAAGCGCCGGUAAGGUGAUAUGAACCGUUAUAACCGGCGAUUUCCGAAUGGGGAAACCCAGUGUGAUUCGUCACACUAUCAUUAACUGAAUCCAUAGGUUAAUGAGGCGAACCGGGGGAACUGAAACAUCUAAGUACCCCGAGGAAAAGAAAUCAACCGAGAUUCCCCCAGUAGCGGCGAGCGAACGGGGAGGAGCCCAGAGCCUGAAUCAGCAUGUGUGUUAGUGGAAGCGUCUGGAAAGGCGCGCGAUACAGGGUGACAGCCCCGUACACAAAAGCGCAUGUGCUGUGAGCUCGAUGAGUAGGGCGGGACACGUGGUAUCCUGUCUGAAUAUGGGGGGACCAUCCUCCAAGGCUAAAUACUCCUGACUGACCGAUAGUGAACCAGUACCGUGAGGGAAAGGCGAAAAGAACCCCGGCGAGGGGAGUGAAAAAGAACCUGAAACCG